CAAUAGCGUAUAUUAAAGUUGUUGCAGUUAAAAAGCUCGUAGUUGGAUUUCUGGUUGAAGCGACCGGUCGGGCGUUGAUUCGUCUGCACUGGAGUCGGUUUUGGCCAUCCUCUAGGAAAGUGCGUCUGGUAUUAAGUUAUCGGGCGUAUGAUCCUGGUCUUUUACUGUGAAAAAAUUAGAGUGUUUAAAGCAGGCCUUCGCCUUGAAUACAUUAGCAUGGAAUAAUAAGAUAGGACUUUGGUCUACUUUGUUGGUUUGCAGACCGAAGUAAUGAUUAAUAGGGAUAGUUGGGGGUAUUUAUAUUCCGAUGUCAGAGGUGAAAUUCUUAGAUUUUCGGAAGAUAAACUUAUGCGAAAGCAUUUACCAAGGACGUUUUCAUUAA
rnacentral:rRNA from 1 species